rnacentral:rRNA from 1 species
UACGUAGGGGGCAAGCGUUGUCCGGAUUUAUUGGGCGUAAGAGCGUGUUGGCGGCUAGAUAGGUUCGUUUUGUAAAACUCGAGGCUCAACCUCGAGACGUCGAUGGAAACCAUCUGGCUAGAGUCCGGAAGAGGAGAGUGGAAUUCCUGGUGUAGCGGUGAAAUGCGCAGAUAUCAGGAAGAACACCCGUGGCGAAGGCGGCUCUCUGGGACGUGACUGACGCUGAGACGCGAAAGCGUGGGGAGCGAACAGG